UCCCUGGUGGUCUAGUGGUUAGGACUCAGUGCUUUCAUUGCUGCAGCCGGGUUCAAUCCCUGGUCUGGGAA
rfam:Sus scrofa chromosome 7.